UACGUAGGGGGCAAGCGUUAUCCGGAAUUACUGGGCGUAAAGCGCACGCAGGCGGUUCGCCAAGUUUGGAGUGACAGUUGUCGGCUCAACCGACAAAGGACUUCAAAAACUGGUGAACUUGAGGACGAGAGAGGAACAUGGAACUCCAGGUGUAGUAGUGAAAUGCGUAGAUAUCUGGAAGAACACCAAUGGCGAAGGCAAUGUUUUGGCUCGUUUCUGACGCUCAGGUGCGAAAGCCAGGGGAGCGAACGGG
rnacentral:rRNA from 1 species